GGGGGAGAUUCUGAUUCUUCUUUGAUUAGUUUAUGUUUUCUGCGUUAAAUUUUUUGUUUUCUAGGUAGUUUUUGUUGUGUCUUGUAUACAAUUUUGCAUGUUUCUCUUGACAUCUGGACUUUGUUUAGGUUGUAGAUGUGUCUUUCAUUUCAUUGAUACUCUAAUUGGUUGGAAAUCCUUGCUUUUCUUUGAUUGGAAGAUGAUCAUGAUGUUUGAGAAGGUGAUUGAUUGUGAUAGAAAUACCCUGUGUGAGAAUUUGAGCCACUUGAUAUUCUUUCUUGUGUGUUAUAUGUCUCUUGAUUGCUUGCACAUAUGCCUUGGCUUGACUCUUGUUGAUGAUUCUUGAUUGAUAUCCAUGUUUGGAAGUGAUAAAGGCAGUUUUGUUGUUGAGCCUCUCUAGCCAGAUGAGCCUACCUUGUUUUAAUCCCUUGAUAACCCCUUUUGAGCCUAUACUUUCCCCAUUUCUUUGUUUUGAAGCUCAUACACUAUCCCUAAGUGAAAAUCAUGAUUACCUUAACCUUAGGGAAUUUUGGAGCUUUGGAAGUGUUUUGGGAACAAGUGUGGUCUCCUUGGAGAUUUUGACGAAUUGGCUAGCUGGUUCCUCUUCUUGUGUUGCUUUUGUACAUAUGUUGUGUAUCUUGUCUCUAAGAGUGGUGUUCUGAAUAGAGAGAAAAGAAAAUAGACAAGAUGAAGAAAAAAAAAGAAAAAUAUACAGAAAAAAUGAGAAAAAUAAAAAUUUUUGUGAAUAAUGGAGUUAAGAAGAGGAUUGAAUUAGAGGGUUUUUGGUGUGAUUUGAUUGUGUUUCACUCGUUCCUCAUUACUCCUCUAUUUCUUUUGGUUUGUAGCUUCUCAUCCAUAUGUUAUCCUCCCUUGUCCUUGGCCCUAUUACAUCCAUAAAAGACCUUUUGAUUUGAACAUGCAUAGAUGUUUUGAGUGUUGAUAUUAGAGGUUUGCCAAGUUUGUUUGUUGCUUGCUUUCUUUAGUGCAUUGAGUUGAAACUAUUUACCCUAAACACUUGAGAGAAACACUGAUAGUGCAUCUGUGAGGUUUUGUUGCUUUUGAUUCACCUCUUGAGCUGAUUGAUCAUUUUGCCAUGUCUUGAAUUCCUUGGAUGAUUUCAUGAGUAUCUGCUUUCCUUGAUUGUGUGUUGGAUACUGUCUACUUCCUUUUCUUUGUCCAGAUGUCUUGAGAACUAUGUAAUUAUGUUUCUUUCAUUGUGAGUCUUUGUUUUCUGUCUAUUGAGUCCGUGUCACUUCCUGAUGUCCUCGGAACUGCUCCCUGUUUUGCGUCUUGAUUUUGCCCAGGAGUGCAAAAGACUAAGUGUCGUCUAUUUUGAUGAAUCAAUAUUUUAUACCAUUCACUUAGUUUUUCGCGCCAAAUUGUGUUGAUGAAUUGUGUUUAAUUCUUAGUUAUUAUGUUAUUUUCACGAUUUGAGCUUAAUUAGACCAAUAAUUCUUAUUUUAAUUAAUUGGAGUUAUUUGAGCUUAAUUAUUCCUAUUUUUAUUUUCAGGACAAAUUUGGAAUUACACUGUGAGACUUUUGGAAGGGCAACAAGAAUUUCCAUAAACUCAUUUUAGAAUUAGUCAAACUUUAAUUUAGUGGUUUAGAAAUUGUAGACCAAAUUUUGUAAUUUGGGCUAAUUUUGGUAGAAUAGGUUAAGCCCAAUUGUAAAAAAAAUAGGACACUUGUCACCCUAGGGUUUCUUGUUCUUUUAGGGUGGACCCCACCCCUAUUUUUGAGACAUAUGGUCCUAGGGAUUGUGACCAACCGUCAUUCUCACUUGAGAGAUUCUACCGGGAACGUUUUCUGCAGGGGGCUCUUCUUUUUCUUUGAACCAUGUUGUUGUUUUUGGAUUUUGGAUGAAUGGGAGAGCACUUCACGGCCUGGAUGGAUUUGUGAAUGCGGAUAGAAGAUUAUUAUUGUUAAAGUGAUUGAUGGCUUUAUUCUUCAUUUUCUUCAAAAGUGUUCACGGUUGAGAGGGAAUAUUAUAGAAGCUACUUCAAUUUAGGGUGCAGCACGUUAUAGCCUUUGGGUUUUUUCUUUUCUUUAUGGAAGUACAAGUUGUUAGAUGGAUGGGAUAGAACAUUUUAUUCUAUUUAAUUUAGUGCAGCACAUUAUGUUCUAAGAGAUGUCCAGCCGCCAUUCAUUUUCUUUGGACUUUGGUUUUAACGUUUGAGUACAGUUUUUUUUUCUUACUUGCAUUCAAUGUCUUUUUCUUUGGGAGCCGCCACCCACUUAUACUUUGGCAUUAUCGGUUUAAGAGUGGAGCAGUGAUAUUUUAAUUGGCUUUGAUAAUGAGGUUGCACGGUGAUUUGAAUUUAGGAGAAAAGGCUUUCACGGUGUUUUAAUUCUUCUUGGAUGCAUAUACUGAAUUUGAGAUGCGUUGGGUCCCCUUCCUUUGGGACGUGUUGUGAGUUACAGUGGUUGUGCAUCCAAUUUUAACAAAGUUGUGAGUUGAUUUUGCGGCAAAUUUCAAUUGCAUACCAUUUGAGCAAUGAAAUGCUUAAGGCAUAGCUUGGAUGCAUUGAAUCAUUGCAGCAGAAUGCCUAAAAGUAGUUGGUCGAUCUGCAUUUGAGUUGUUGAGUCAUUUUUUUUUUUGUUUAAAAUCUAGUUUGAGCAUCUAAUUCUUAGCAAACCAUCCAAUGCGUAUUUCUGCUAUUUGGAGCAACUUUCCAGUGCUGUUUUGGAGUCAUUUGCAUUGUUUCUAAGUUGUUUGACAAUCUGCCUCAAAUUUUGGAUAUUUGAGUUGUUUAUUUUGAAUUGCACAUGAACUGAAUAUAUCAAAUUUUGUUAUAAGUGGAAUCUACCAAGAAAAACUAGCCAAACAAGUUUAUAUUCAUCUAUUAAACAUGUUUGCGCAAGUCUAAUUCCAGUCUAUACANUUCUGGGCAUUUUCAAUGUUCAUGUUAUCCAAUUUUUAGGCACUUUUGAUGGCUCAAUUUAGUGCUGCAGCAGAAUUUGCUUGUUACAAACUGAAUUUGGUGUUAACCAUUAAUUGUUGGGUGUAGCAUAAGCUUAGGUCCAUAAAACAAUAAUUGAAAUCAUUUUCAAAGAAUAUGAAAUGAUAUUAAAAAGCUAACUGGACCAGUGCACCCAAUCUGCGAAAUCUGCAAAAAUUCAAAUUUCAUUUCUGCACUAAAAUUGAAUGUUCUUUGAGAUAUUUUUACAAACAGUUUGUAAAAUCUGCAUUGCACAUCUAAUUUGAGUUUAAUUUCCAUUCGUGUCUUUUUAUUGUUUUCUAAUCUACUCUAGAACAAUUCCUAGGAUCAUUUUGAGGUGCCUCCUUGUUUGUUACCCGAUUAAUUGCUUGCUUUUGAGUUAUUGGCCCCCNNNNNNNNNNNNNNNNNNNNNNNNNNNNNNNNNNNNNNNNNNNNNNNNNNNNNNUACACACAACCUAUUUGAUUAAAGGUUUUGUGGUGUUGUCUAUUUGAAUGCAAUUCUGGUAGCAACUAUAAUUUUGUAUUGGAAUUAAAUUGUGACUUAGUGAUCUGUGGAGGUAAUUUCUGUUGGUGCAGCAUAGCUAGAGAGACCUACACAUCAAUGGUAGCCUCUUAAGAAGUGCAGUAUGGGCAAAAUCAAGGGCAGAAACCACCUUUAGCAGCCUAACUUUUCUAAUUUGCCAUCCAUUUUAUUGCUGACACCACAGACUUACACAAACACCCUACAACUAUGAGGUUUUGAGAGUAGUGUUAACCCCCUGCUGGUCUGCACCAUAUUUUUUGUAACUGAUUGAGUGAGUUCUAGAACAACAAAUCACAUUUCCACCUUGCAGCUGUGAGUUUAGUUUGCUGGUCACCUCCAGCAAUAUCAUUGUGAGAAGCCAAAGUUGUUUUCCAAUAUUGUUGCCUAAUUCAGAUGGCAACUACUGUUGAACCGAUUGGAUCAAUUUGUGUUCUCAUCAAUAUGCAUUGAAUCAGUGUACUAAAGUUGCUACUACACUCCAUUUUCAAUUACUAAUCUCAAAUAACACUGUUCCUAUUCAAUUGAAAUUGCUAGUGCUUGGAGUCUUUGCUGUUUUGGCACUUUACAACUAUGUAGAUGUAAUUUGGAAAGCAUUAUAUCAUUGGCUAUAAUAGUGGAGAACUGGUUGAACCUCACCCUUUUCUUUGAAAAAUCUGAAAGCAGCAACAACACAUUUAUUUUUGGGUUCCUUGUAUUCUCUUAAUACAAGUGCAAUCACGACAGCUGCAUAUAAAAACUGCAGACUUCCUAUUUUGCUGGAAAAACAUCCCCAUGAUUGCACCAAUCUGAGAGCAAAGGGAGCCUUCUUAAUAGAUGUACAGUUUAUAAUGCAUUGUUGACUACCUAUUGAAUCUGAUUUGUUUGUGCAGUUUUGAAAGGCAACGGAGAAUCGAUAAGGCUGCAAUAAGAAAAUUGAGAAAGGGAGAGUUGAGUCCAAAAGCAAGGAGAACCAAAGUUGAUCAAAAUACGUCCAGAAUUAGUCAAGCACAAAGACUUUGGACAAAAUUGUGGCAGCAACAAUAGUUUUUGUUCAUUUUGUAAUAGGCAUUUGUGUUAGUUUCUUCUUAGUAAAGGCCAUUCAAAGUCGACUUGGAAGAGUCCUUGGUGCUUUUUCCAACUCUUGACUGUUGGUAUCGUAGGGGGUAAUUUUUAAAGAGUUUAGCGCAGCGGAUUAAUAACACAGAGAGCGUAAAGCGUAUUAAGUCACAGUUGAAACGAUUUUGGCCUUUUUAUAAAAACAAUUUUCUUUCAGAAAAUUAACCAAACANUUGAUGUGCGUUAAAGUAAAAUGAGUAUAGGGCAUAAGAAAAUCACACAAGGAUUUUUAUACUGGUUCGAUUCAACA
rnacentral:lncRNA from 1 species